AUUGAACGCUGGCGGUAGGCUUAACACAUGCAAGUCGAGCGAGAAAGUAUCUUCGGAUAUGAGUAUAGCGGCGGACGGGUGAGUAACGCGUAGGAAUCUACCUAGUAGAAGGGGAUAGCCCGGGGAAACUCGGAUUAAUACCGUAUACCUCCUAAGGGAGAAAGAGGGCCUCUCUUGAUGCUCUCGCUAUUAGAUGAGCCUGCGUAAGAUUAGCUUGUUGGUAAGGUAAUGGCUUACCAAGGCUACGAUCUUUAGCUGGUCUGAGAGGACGAUCAGCCACAUUGGGACUGAGACACGGCCCAGACUCCUACGGGAGGCAGCAGUGGGGAAUAUUGGACAAUGGGCGCAAGCCUGAUCCAGCCAUACCGCGUGUGUGAAGAAGGCCUUCGGGUUGUAAAGCACUUUAAGCAGGGAGAAAAAGUUAUAAGUUAAUACCUUAUAACCGUGAUGUUACCUGCAGAAUAAGCACCGGCUAAUUCCGUGCCAGCAGCCGCGGUAAUACGGAAGGUGCAAGCGUUAAUCGGAAUUACUGGGCGUAAAGCGCGCGUAGGUGGUUUGUUAAGUUGGAUGUGAAAGCCCUGGGCUCAACCUAGGAACUGCAUCCAAAACUAACUCACUAGAGUACGAUAGAGGGAGGUAGAAUUCAUAGUGUAGCGGUGGAAUGCGUAGAUAUUAUGAAGAAUACCAGUGGCGAAGGCGGCCUCCUGGAUCUGUACUGACACUGAGGUGCGAAAGCGUGGGUAGCGAACAGGAUUAGAUACCCUGGUAGUCCACGCCGUAAACGAUGACAACUAGCUGUUGGGAGACAAUGUCUUUCAGUGGCGCAGCUAACGUUUUAAGUUGUCCGCCUGGGGAGUACGGCCGCAAGGCUAAAACUCAAAUGAAUUGACGGGG
rnacentral:rRNA from 1 species